UACAGAGGUGGCAAGCGUUGUUCGGAUUUACUGGGCGUAAAGAGCGCGCAGGCGGUCGUACAAGUCGCGUGUGAAAGCCCCCGGCUCAACUGGGGAGGGUCACGCGAUACUGUUCGACUCGAAGGCAGGAGAGGGAAGUGGAAUUCCCGGUGUAGUGGUGAAAUGCGUAGAUAUCGGGAGGAACACCAGUGGCGAAGGCGACUUCCUGGCCUGUUCUUGACGCUGAGGCGCGAAAGCUAGGGUAGCAAACGGG
rnacentral:rRNA from 1 species